rnacentral:lncRNA from 1 species
UUGAAACCUGCGAACCUUUUUUUCUGUACAUCUUCUCGCGGCUGCACUUGCUCUCCAACAUGGAAAGAAAUAUUAACACCAAUAAAAAAUGAUAUGAUUUUCAGAUGCUUGUAAUUUCAAUAUUGGAUAUGUGUUAUGACUGUCAUAUGCUUGUAAUUUCAAUACUAUUCUAGAGAUGGCUUUGUCAUUGGUAAUACUUGAUAAAAUUAUGCACCAAGUUGAUGGUUUGUCUUAAAAAAAUGAAAGUGUAUUUUGACUAAUCAGUUUCAGGGCCUAU